rfam:Danio rerio unplaced genomic contig NA358, GRCz11 reference primary assembly.
GGCUCGUUGGUCAAGGGCUAUGAUUCUUGCUUUGGGUGCGAGAGGUCCUGGGUUCAAAUCCCAGAUGAACCC